CUUGCCAUUCCUGCCCUCAGGGCCCUCACAGGAGGGGACCUGAGCUGGCAGCAUCUGCUUAGCUUGGAGGUGGGGUUGGGGGAGAGCAGAAGCCCAUGUGGGUUCACUCAGUAGGGUGGAUUCUACUCUGAGGUUAGAGGCUCCUGAGAGGGGAGCCCUUACUUCAGCCCAGUCCAAAGUAGUCAGAUGAUGGGGGAAGGAUUCCAACUUAAUGCCCUGAUCUUUUCUGACCAGCACCUCCUUUCUGCUCUUAAAAUAUUUCACGUCAGUGCGAAGGAUGUGACAGGCCAUUUUCCACCUUGGAAAGUGACAGCUCGUUUGAAAUAGUCACCAAAUGUAUCUUCUGCCGGAGAGAUGCGAUGGACUUGCCAGCAGCAGCUUCAUCAUCAUCAGAAACAGAGAACAAGGAGGACUGAUGGCCACUGGGCCCUUUCAUUGACUUGAUCAUGGGUCACCUGUCACCCAGGUUGUGGGGCUCUCUGCAGGGAUCCUUCUCAGGGUCCCUCCCCACCUGAGUGGGCCUGUGAGACUGGGGUAGGGGCCAAUCCCUGGCUGGGCUCUCAGUGCAGGGCCACCUCCUCAGCUCCACAGCAUCCUUGAGGGUUGAACACUUCAGUUUCCAUGCAGAAUAAAUCUAGAUUCCUUUGGAAAACAAGUGUGCAUAUGAAUUGUAGAAGCAGUUUGCUAUUUCUAAGCUUAACAUCCUGGUGUUCAUUCUGUCUCAUUUUGGGGAUGCGUUAUGGACUCCUAUUCUGGAGUCUUGGGCCUCUGGGACUGGUAUCACCAUUUCCCAGAGGAUGGGUUUGUCAAAUGAACAUGAAGAUGUGUGGGGGUCCGUGCUCUGUGAUUGAGGAUGGCAAGGCAUUGUGGCUUAUAUGGUUUGACUAUGAUUUGUUCCCUAAGAGUUCAUAUCCUGGAAGCUUGGUCCCCAAUGGCGGACACAUCAAUACCUGCUUCUUGGAAGUGGGUUAGAUAUCAGGGGACUGAAUUUGCUACUUCAAGAGCAGAUUGUUAUAAAGUUAGGCCACCCCUGUGUUUGGUUUCUUCUACAUGUGCUACUUGCUGUUCUUACAUGUGCUCCUGUCAUGUGAUGCCACCUGCCAUGUUAUGACCAUAUGAAGCACUAAUCAGAUGUCACUGCAUGAUCUUGAACUUUCCUGCCUCUAGAACCAUGAGCUCAAUAAAUAUU
rnacentral:lncRNA from 1 species